CCUACGGGGUGCAGCAGUGAGGAAUAUUUGUCAAUGGGCGCGAGCCUGAACCAGCCAAGUAGCGUGAAGGAUGACUGCCCUACGGGUUGUAAACUUCUUUUAUAAAGGAAUAAAGUGAGGCACGUGUGCCUUUUUGUAUGUACUUUAUGAAUAAGGAUCGGCUAACUCCGUGACAGCAGCCGCGGUAAUACGGAGGAUCCGAGCGUUAUCCGGAUUUAUUGGGUUUAAAGGUAGCGUAGAUGGGUUGUUAAGUCAGUUGUGAAAGGUGGCGGCUCAACCGGAAAAUUGCAAUUGAUACUGGCAGACUUGAGUACAGUAGAGGUAGGCGGAAUUCGUGGUGUAGCAGUGAAAUGCGUAGAUAUCACGAAGAACACUGAUUGCGAAGGCGGCCUCCUAGACAGCCACUGACAUUGAUGCUCGAAGGUGUGGGUAUCAAACAGGAUUAGAUACCCCAGUAGUC
rnacentral:rRNA from 1 species